AUGAUUCUGGAAGCAGGUUGCCGAGGGGGGUUCUGGAGUGUGGGCUCCAGAGGCAGGUUCCGGAGGAAGGUUCUGGAAGCGGUUUCUGGAAGUGUGACAAUGGACGGCACCGCACUGGGGCCACCAGGCCAGAGUCUGGGUCCCCGAGCGGAGACAGAAAAGCGGACCUUAAGGGCUGCACGGGCGCUCGUGCCAGGAAAUCCGUUAACAAGCCAUCGCGGGUGUUUUCUUCGGACUAGCCCUGCGGAGGCCCCGCCGCCCGGCGGGUGGAACCCCGGCUGCCCCUGGGCUGUGCGCGGCGCCUUGUUUCUCCCUUUUCCGCCGGCCGGCGGUUGCCAGGGGCGACCGCAUUCCCCUGGGGCUCCGCGGACACGAGUGGGCAGGGCCUGGCUUCGAGAACCACCUCCCUCACGCUCUGGUUGGCCAGCGCUGCUGUCCGUCGGAGUCGCCGCGGCCGCCGAUUGGGCAGCGGGAAGUUUCGCACGCUCGGCGGCCUGCGCCCCGCCCCUCCUGCCGGCGGGGCCGCCACCCCCAGGAGAGGGCAGUGAGGAGUCCGUUGCUCCGGGGGUCCCUGCGCUGGCGACGGCCUCCAGGCGGACGCGGCCCGAGCAGCGGGCGGCGAUGGUCCCCGAGGACAGAUCGGACGGCCCGGGAGCCGGCGAGGAGAGCGCCCGGCUGCAAGCGGGCCCCAUCCGCAAGGGCUGUGACCUCUCGGCAGAUUCACCGCCCGGCCGCCUGCAGAGCCACAGGGCCCGGAUCCACCAGCAGAUUGACAGGGAGCUGAGGAUGCGGACAGGCGCCGAGAAUCUGUACAGAGCCACCAGCAACGCCCGCGUCAGGGAGACUGUGGCCCUGGAACUGAGCGACGUCAACUCCAGCCUGCAGCUGCUGAAGGAGGAGCUGGCGGGGCUCGACAGCAGCGGGGACACGGGGCAGCCCGAGAGCGAAGGCGUCACUGCCCCCAUGAUCCCCCUGGGGCUGAAGGAGACCAAGCCCCUGGACUGGGCCCCCUCCCUAAAGGAGCUGAUCUGCAGACACUUUGGGGAGGAUGGAGCUUCCUACGAGGCUGAGAUCAGGGAGCUGGAGGAACUGCGGCAGGCCACGCGGACCCCCAGCCGGAGCAAGGCCGGCCUGGAGCUCCUCACGGCCUAUUACAACCAGCUCUGCUUCCUGGAGGCGCGCUUUGUCACCCCUGCCCGGAGCCUCGGGCUGCUCUUCCACUGGUACGACUCGCUGACAGGGCUUCCAGCCCAGCAGCGGGCCCUGGCCUUCGAGAAGGGCAGCGUGCUGUUCAACAUCGGCGCCCUGCACACCCAGAUCGGGGCUCGCCAGAACCGCUCCUGCCCUGAGGGCAUCAGCCGCGCCAUGGAAGCCUUUCAGAGGGCUGCUGGGGCCUUCAGCCUCCUGAGGGAGAACUUCUCCCACGCACCCAGCCCGGACAUGAGCCCCGCCUCCCUCUCCAUGCUGGAGAAGCUCAUGAGUGCCCAGGCCCAGGAGUGUGUCUUCGAGGGCCUCUUGCUGCAGGCCCCCGAGGCUGCCCACGACUGCCUGGCCCAGCUGCGCCUCGCCCAGGAGGCGGCCCAGGUGAGGGCGGGAGGGAGGGGGGCAGCAGGGGGUGGCUGUCCCAGGGGACGGGCCAGGCUGCGGCUCUUGGCUCUCGGGUGCCCGCUGAGCUGGGGGCUGGGGCAGGGUGGGGCAGGGCCGGGAGGGGCAGCUGGGGAGUCUCUGGAAGCCAGCUGUCCUCAUAGGCUCUGCGGGGCUGUUCAGGGUCCUGGGGCCCUGAGUCCCCACGUCUGGGGCGAUGCCAAUCAGGGCAGGGACUGGGGCCCCCUGACCCCUGAGCUCGUCUCGACGUGGGGCAGGGUCACUGGGACUUUGGUGGAGGCGGGGCCCCAGGGUGGGCAGAGGCCGGGGCCCAGGCCGCUGGGCUCCUGGCAGCCCCCUCCGUCCCUCUGUGUGCCAGCAGGUGGCGGCCGAGUACCGGCUGGUGCAUCGGACCAUGGUCCAGCCGCCCGUCCAGGACUACGUGCCCUUCCCCUGGACCACCCUGGUGCACGUGAAGGCUGA
rnacentral:lncRNA from 1 species